GAGCAUGGAUUAAUGAUCACCAACACGAGGGGAUCAUAAGUAUAGGAAUCACGUCGAGACGGGCGCAAGCAUGAGAUGUUAACGGGUCAAUAAGAGGCAAGGAAUCGGAUGCGAGCACGGACGCAUAAGGUUGUACGAAUCACGGAUUAACCUCACAAGGAGUAGCGAUCGAAGACCGAGUCACAAGAUAGAUUGUACGGGAAUGUUUACAUAUGUAAUUUAGUGAUGAUAAGUUAUGUUUUUUUUAUAUUUUAAAGUGGACUUUCAAGUAAGACAAAACGUUUAUAAUGAAUGAAAUUUUAGGGU